rnacentral:rRNA from 1 species
UACGAAGGGGGCUAGCGUUGUUCGGAAUUACUGGGCGUAAAGCGCGCGCAGGCGGUCCUUCAAGUCAGAGGUGAAAGCCCAGAGCUCAACUCUGGAAUGGCCUUUGAGACUAGAGGACUUGGGUACGGGAGAGGUGAGUGGAAUUCCGAGUGUAGAGGUGAAAUUCGUAGAUAUUCGGAAGAACACCAGUGGCGAAGGCGGCUCACUGGCCCGUUACCGACGCUCAGGCGC